GAUGAACGCUGGCGGCGUGCCUAAUACAUGCAAGUCGAGCGGACAGACGAGGAGCUUGCUCCUCUGACGUUAGCGGCGGACGGGUGAGUAACACGUGGAUAACCUACCUAUAAGACUGGGAUAACUUCGGGAAACCGGAGCUAAUACCGGAGAAUAUAUUGAACCGCAUGGUUCAAUAGUGAAAGACGGUUUUGCUGUCACUUAUAGAUGGAUCCGCGCCGCAUUAGCUAGUUGGUAAGGUAACGGCUUACCAAGGCAACGAUGCGUAGCCGACCUGAGAGGGUGAUCAGCCACACUGGAACUGAGACACGGUCCAGACUCCUACGGGAGGCAGCAGUAGGGAAUCUUCCGCAAUGGGCGAAAGCCUGACGGAGCAACGCCGCGUGAGUGAUGAAGGUCUUCGGGUCGUAAAGCUCUGUUAUUAGGGAAGAACAGAUGUGUAAGUAACUAUGCACGUCUUGACGGUACCUAAUCAGAAAGCCACGGCUAACUUCGUG
rnacentral:rRNA from 1 species